UACGUAGGGUCCGAGCGUUAAUCGGAAUUACUGGGCGUAAAGCGUGCGCAGGCGGUUUUGUAAGCCAGAUGUGAAAGCCCCGGGCUCAACCUGGGAAUGGCAUUUGGGACUGCAAGGCUGGAGUACGGCAGAGGGAGGUGGAAUUCCACGUGUAGCAGUGAAAUGCGUAGAGAUGUGGAGGAACACCGAUGGCGAAGGCAGCCUCCUGGGCUAGUACUGACGCUCAUGCACGAAAGCGUGGGGAGCAAACAGG
rnacentral:rRNA from 1 species